rnacentral:lncRNA from 12 species
GCCUGUUACUGUUGUUGCAAUGAUUUAAAAUUUUACAGGGAUUUGCAAGGAGUUCAGGUUGUUUAUGGCCAACUACAUCACAGACAUGUUUUAAUCUCAGCAAAGGCUGUAAAUAAUAGCAAUAAAAGGAGGUCCCUGAGCGGGCAAGGAUCAUGGAGAUGCGGGGGAAGAAGUGUGUUAAUCCAUGGCCUAAGCUCGGGCUUGUAUCCCCAUCUUGUGGCAGAAGGGGAUGAGUGCAAGGAGCAAAAGGCAAAUCUCCCCGUGGCCGAGAGUAACCCACGGUUUCACAGCAAACAAGCAGCAGGGAAUGCAUAAGGAAAUGUCCUCGGCUCAGUAAUUGCUGCCACACUGUUUCUAAUCUCACAACUCAUCAAUACCCCUUUCUCAUCAAUAAAUGAGACUCAAAGAAAAUCCUAUCUUGGUACAAAAAACAAAGCAACACCAAAAAAACCCAACAAAAAAACAAAAAACAAAAAACAAAAACAACAAAAAAACCCAAAACCCAACCCCCAACCAACUACCAAACCCCUAAAAACCCCCACCGCAAAGCAACACCGUUCCCCACAUUAAAAUACUUGUUUCUAAAAUCUUGGCACAACUGUAUUCCAAAGACUUUCACUUGGUGUAGAAAGUGCCUCCAUCCCAGAGCUGUGCUAGCCAGAAAUGUGCUUGCCAUACUUUAGGAAUAGCAUCCUCUACUCGAUCAUAUUUUAGCAGGGGAAACCUGAGCUUAAUUCCACUAAUGUAAUGGUCUGCUGGUAAAUUUUGGGUCAGGUAAGUAAAAACCAAGCAAAAAACCCACCACCACCACUGCCACCAAAGAUAUGGAAAAAAGCCCAACAAGACACGGGAAGAUCAAAGUGCCAGAAACUGUAAGAAGCCUACAGCAGAAUAUUAAGACUUCACUAGAAACUCUUUGAGAAUAAUGACAAGCUUUACAAGCAGAUAAGAAAUGUUUAUUCCCUCUUCUUUCCCCGUCUCACCCCUUCCUGCACCAUUUCUA